CCUACGGGUGGCAGCAGUGGGGAAUUUUGGACAAUGGGCGCAAGCCUGAUCCAGCUAUUCCGCGUGUGGGAAGACGGCCUUCGGGUUGUAAACCACUUUUGUAGAGAACGAAAAGUCUAUUGAUAAUACCGAUAGAUGAUGACGGUACUCUAAGAAUAAGCACCGGCUAACUACGUGCCAGCAGCCGCGGUAAUACGUAGGGUGCGAGCGUUAAUCGGAAUUACUGGGCAUAAAGGGUGUGCAGGCGGUUUUGCAAGAUGGAUGUGAAAGCCCCGGGCUUAACCUGGGAAAGCCAUACAUGACUGCAAGACUAGAGUGCGUCAGAGGGGGGUGGAAGUCAAAGUGUAGCAGUGAAAUGCGUAGAUAUUUGGAAGAACACCGAUGGCGAAGGCAGCCCCCUGGGACGCAACUGACGCUCAUACACGAAAGCGUGGGGAGCAAACAGGAUUAGAUACCCGGGUAGUC
rnacentral:rRNA from 1 species